GACGAACGCUGGCGGCGUGCUUAGCACAUGCAAGUCGAACGGAAAGGCCCUGCUUUUGUGGGGUGCUCGAGUGGCGAACGGGUGAGUAACACGUGAGUAACCUGCCCUUGACUUUGGGAUAACUUCAGGAAACUGGGGCUAAUACCGGAUAGGAGCUCCUGCUGCAUGGUGGGGGUUGGAAAGUUUCGGCGGUUGGGGAUAGACUCGCGGCUUAUCAGCUUGUUGGUGGGGUAGUGGCUUACCAAGGCUUUGACGGGUAGCCGGCCUGAGAGGGUGACCGGCCACAUUGGGACUGAGAUACAGCCCAGACUCCUACGGGAGGCAGCAGUGGGGAAUAUUGCACAAUGGGCGGAAGCCUGAUGCAGCAACGCCGCGUGCGGGAUGACGGCCUUCGGGUUGUAAACCGCUUUCGCCUGUGACGAAGCGUGAGUGACGGUAAUGGGUAAAGAAGCACCGGCUAACUACGUG
rnacentral:rRNA from 1 species